rnacentral:rRNA from 1 species
UACGUAGGCAGCGAGCGUUGUUCGGAGUUACUGGGCGUAAAGGGUGUGUAGGCGGUUGUUUAAGUUUGGUGUGAAAUCUCCCGGCUCAACUGGGAGGGUGCGCCGAAUACUGAAUGACUAGAGUGCGGGAGAGGUAAGCGGAAUUCCUGGUGUAGCGGUGAAAUGCGUAGAUAUCAAGAGGAACACCUGCGGCGAAGGCGGGUUGCUGGGCCGACACGUGACGCUGAUGCGCGAAAGCUAGGGGAGCGAACGGG